rnacentral:rRNA from 1 species
UGGGGAAUAUUGCACAAUGGGGGAAACCCUGAUGCAGCGACGCCGCGUGAGCGAUGAAGGCUUUCGAGUCGUAAAGCUCUGUCCUAUGGGAAGAUAAUGACGGUACCCUGUGAGGAAGCCCCGGCUAACUACGUGCCAGCAGCCGCGGUAAUACGUAGGGGGCUAGCGUUAUCCGGAUUUACUGGGCGUAAAGGGUGCGUAGGUGGUCUUUCAAGUCGGUGGUUAAAGGCUACGGCUCAACCGUAGUUAGCCUCCGAAACUGGAAGACUUGAGUGCAGGAGAGGAAAGUGGAAUUCCCAGUGUAGCGGUGAAAUGCGUAGAUAUUGGGAGGAACACCAGUAGCGAAGGCGGCUUUCUGGACUUUUACUGACGCUCAGGUACGAAAGCGUGGGGAGCAAACAGG